rnacentral:rRNA from 1 species
ACGGGUGAGUAACGCGUGGGCAACCUGCCCUAUACAGGGGGAUAGCAGCUGGAAACGGCUGGUAAGACCGCAUAAGUCGGUUAAAUCGCAUGAUUUGAUCGGGAAAUGAGCAAUCAGGUAUAGGAUGGGCCCGCGUCCGAUUAGCCAGUUGGCAGGGUAAAAGCCUACCAAAGCGACGAUCGGUAGCCGGACUGAGAGGUCGGACGGCCACAUUGGGACUGAGACACGGCCCAAACUCCUACGGGAGGCAGCAGUGGGGGAUAUUGCACAAUGGAGGAAACUCUGAUGCAGCGACGCCGCGUGAGUGAAGAAGUAUUUCGGUAUGUAAAGCUCUAUCAGCAGGGAAGAUGGUGACGGUA